AUGCAAACAAGCUAUGACAUAUUGGUGGCUCAUGGUGACACAGUCUUCCAGACUUCUAGAAUUUUCUCAUCAGAUAAAUCCCACCUAUCAGAGCAUCUCAUCAAAAGCAAGCUGCCCUCCUUGGGGGAUCUCAACCCCUUUUCAAGUUCCAAAGUUUCUGUUCACACAAUUAAAUUCCCUGAAGAAUAUCUCUCCUGGGUUUGUGCAAAGGAAAUUCCACGCCUCCAGAUACUUAAAGAGAGGUCAUAUUAUGCUCCAGAGACAAUCAGGUCAGGCUUCCAUCCUUCUGAGACUUUUCCACACAAAUAAAUGACAUGGCUUAGAACGUAACUGCUGGUGAAUGUUUUAGGGUAUUGGGGUUUUUUUUUUUCACCUGAAGAAAACUCAUCUUACUUUCUGGGGCCAAGCAGUACCAAAAUAAUUUCCAGUGUCUUAAAUCUGUCUCUGUCUGGAAACCAGCCAAAGGAUUGUACUGCUUAAAUGCUAAUAGCAUAAAAUGAGAUUUCAAAAGGACUCCAUUAUGUAUUAUUGUCCAAAGUAACACACUAUCUCUGGGCCUUCAUUCCAGUUAAACACUAGGGCUUCCUGAUCUCACAGGGAACAGGCUCUUACACACACACAGUGUUCAGGGCUCCCUAAAUAUCUGUGGAUUUGAUUUGUUGAACAGAGACCAGAAACACAGGAGUGCAUUCACCAAGGCUGACCUGCCUGACUGGGGGAAGGUGAUUGGAGAGAGCCGAGCUGCUUGAACUCUCAUUUCCCCUUGGCAGAUCUCCAAGGGCAAACCGUGCCUGUGAAGGGCAUUCAUUAUCUGUCAGGGGAUUCAUCUUGGGUGUGGAAUUAACAAGAGGCAAGGAAUGCUGAAAAAAAAAAUGCACUGAAUUGCCCAAGUGUUUUCAGCUUGGGGCUCUCUAGAGCAGGGAAGAAUUGGAGUAAGGGUUGUUUUGUGCUCACUAAAUGCCCAACCUCUGCCCUAGAAGUAUCCCAGGGCCAUUUGAUCUCCCUGCCAUUCACUGGGCUGUGGUAGGAAGACCUACUGCUACAGAAAGGAAAAGAAUGGGGAAAAGAGGUGGGGAGCCAGGAGGGGAUUUAAUAAGUCUGGAUUCCUGUAAUUAGAGUAAUGGAUGUUGAUAAGCUCUUUCCCUAGGCUUUAUUUCUAAGGCUGAGUAACCCUUGUGGGUUUGUUCUGGAUUGGGCAUCCAUGGUCCUGUCUAAUAAUUUCGCCCCAGCCUUUAGUUUACCAGGAGGAGAUCCUGACAGCCCUGAGUGCAAGGAACCAGGGAAGCAGCAAGGCGGGUUGCAGAUGCACAUCCUCCCAGUGCCAGGAAAGGUUCUAAUUCAAAAACAAAUCUAUUUAUCGCUUUCCAACUGCACGACAGGGCAGGGCAUCCGGAGGCAGGGUGGAGCAUCAGAUUGUUCAACAGUAGCGAUGGCACGUGGCCAAAGGAAAUUUCCCAUUUUAUGAAGGCUCCUGCUGACCACUCAGCAGUGGCUUUGAAGGUCCAGGAGCACAGAAGCAGAGAAAAACCAUCCUUCCAGCUAAACAAAGAAGCACAUUCGCUUACCCUGUGGAGGUUUCAAAUUCUACUUACAGGCUACCUGGGGCCACCAAACUGCCAAUAAAAUGUAAUUGGGAAAUGUUUCA
rnacentral:lncRNA from 1 species